AAGAUUUUAAGUUAAAUAAACUAAUAACCUUCAAAGUUAUCUAUACUUUCUGGUAAGUCUUA
rnacentral:tRNA from 1 species